GACAGAGGCCUCAAGCGUUAGGCGGAAUCACUGGGCUUAAAGCGUGUGUAGGCGGGUCGUUAAGUACCUUGUGAAAUCCCACGGCUCACCCGUGGAACUGCUGGGUAUACUGGCGAUCUUGGGCCAUUCAGGGGCAACUGGAACAAGCGGUGGAGCGGUGAAAUGCGUAGAUAUCAGGAAGAACACCCGUGGCGAAGGCGGCUCUCUGGGACGGUACUGACGGCUGAGACGCGAAAGCGUGGGGAGCGAACAGG
rnacentral:rRNA from 1 species